rnacentral:rRNA from 1 species
CAUGCAAGUCGAACGGUAACAGGGGAGCUUGCUCCCGCUGACGAGUGGCGAACGGGUGAGUAAUGCAUCGGAACGUGCCGAAUAGUGGGGGAUAACGCACCGAAAGGUGUGCUAAUACCGCAUACGCCCUGAGGGGGAAAGUGGGGGACCGCAAGGCCUCACGCUAAUUGAGCGGCCGAUGUCGGAUUAGCUAGUUGGUGGGGUAAAGGCUCACCAAGGCGACGAUCCGUAGCGGGUCUGAGAGGAUGAUCCGCCACACUGGGACUGAGACACGGCCCAGACUCCUACGGGAGGCAGCAGUGGGGAAUUUUGGACAAUGGGGGAAACCCUGAUCCAGCCAUGCCGCGUGUCUGAAGAAGGCCUUCGGGUUGUAAAGGACUUUUGUCCGGGAGGAAACCCUGAUCGUUAAUAGCGGUCGGGACUGACAGUACCGGAAGAAUAAGCACCGGCUAACUACGUGCCAGCAGCCGCGGUAAUACGUAGGGUGCAAGCGUUAAUCGGAAUUACUGGGCGUAAAGCGUGCGCAGGCGGUGAGAUAAGUCAGCUGUGAAAGCCCCGGGCUCAACCUGGGAACUGCGGCCGAAACUGUCUCGCUAGAGUACGUCAGA